UGAUUUGAAGAGCUUGCUCAGAUAUGACGAUGGACAUUGCAAAGAGUGGCGAACGGGUGAGUAACACGUGGGAAACCUACCUCUUAGCAGGGGAUAACAUUUGGAAACAGAUGCUAAUACCGUAUAACAAUGACAACCGCAUGGUUGUUAUUUAAAAGAUGGUUCUGCUAUCACUAAGAGAUGGUCCCGCGGUGCAUUAGCUAGUUGGUAAGGUAAUGGCUUACCAAGGCGAUGAUGCAUAGCCGAGUUGAGAGACUGAUCGGCCACAAUGGGACUGAGACACGGCCCAUACUCCUACGGGAGGCAGCAGUAGGGAAUCUUCCACAAUGGGCGAAAGCCUGAUGGAGCAACGCCGCGUGUGUGAUGAAGGGUUUCGGCUCGUAAAACACUGUUGUAAGAGAAGAAUGACAUUGAGAGUAACUGUUCAAUGUGUGACGGUAUCUUACCAGAAAGGAACGGCUAAAUACGUGCCAGCAGCCGCGGUAAUACGUAUGUUCCAAGCGUUAUCCGGAUUUAUUGGGCGUAAAGCGAGCGCAGACGGUUAUUUAAGUCUGAAGUGAAAGCCCUCAGCUCAACUGAGGAAUUGCUUUGGAAACUGGAUGACUUGAGUGCAGUAGAGGAAAGUGGAACUCCAUGUGUAGCGGUGAAAUGCGUAGAUAUAUGGAAGAACACCAGUGGCGAAGGCGGCUUUCUGGACUGUAACUGACGUUGAGGCUCGAAAGUGUGGGUAGCAAACAGGAUUAGAUACCCUGGUAGUCCACACCGUAAACGAUGAGUGCUAGGUGUUUGAGGGUUUCCGCCCUUAAGUGCCGCAGCUAACGCAUUAAGCACUCCGCCUGGGGAGUACGACCGCAAGGUUGAAACUCAAAGGAAUUGACGGGGACCCGCACAAGCGGUGGAGCAUGUGGUUUAAUUCGAAGCAACGCGAAGAACCUUACCAGGUCUUGACAUCCCUUGACAACUCCAGAGAUGGAGCGUUCCCUUCGGGGACAAGGUGACAGGUGGUGCAUGGUUGUCGUCAGCUCGUGUCGUGAGAUGUUGGGUUAAGUCCCGCAACGAGCGCAACCCUUAUUACUAGUUGCCAGCAUUCAGUUGGGCACUCUAGUGAGACUGCCGGUGACAAACCGGAGGAAGGUGGGGAUGACGUCAAAUCAUCAUGCCCCUUAUGACCUGGGCUACACACGUGCUACAAUGGCGUAUACAACGAGUUGCCAACCCGCGAGGGUGAGCUAAUCUCUUAAAGUACGUCUCAGUUCGGAUUGUAGGCUGCAACUCGCCUACAUGAAGUCGGAAUCGCUAGUAAUCGC
rnacentral:rRNA from 1 species